rnacentral:rRNA from 1 species
GACGAACGCUGGCGGCGUGCUUAACACAUGCAAGUCGAGCGGUAAGGCCCUUUCGGGGGUACACGAGCGGCGAACGGGUGAGUAACACGUGGGUGACCUGCCUUCAGCUCUGGGAUAAGCCUGGGAAACUGGGUCUAAUACUGGAUAUUACUCUGCGGUGCAUGCCGUGGGGUGGAAAGCCUUGUGCGGCUGGGGAUGGGCCCGCGGCCUAUCAGCUUGUUGGUGGGGUGAUGGCCUACCAAGGCGACGACGGGUAGCCGGCCUGAGAGGGCGACCGGCCACACUGGGACUGAGACACGGCCCAGACUCCUACGGGAGGCAGCAGUGGGGAAUCUUGCGC